rnacentral:lncRNA from 1 species
GUUGCAUAUAGAUUAAAUCUACUUUAUUCAUGUUAGAUAGAUUAAAUUAUUUAAUCUAGAUCAUUUUUUUUUAUAUCACUGUAUUUAAAUUUUAAAAAUUAAAAAUCUGCAUGCUCUGAUUUCUGCAUGCAUGAUCUCAGAUAUACGAUAUUCUUUACAUACGUCUUCCAUACGUCUUGUUAUUAGACUUAUCAAACAAGCUUUCUAGCAUGCAUUUAUCUGAUUAAUAAGCAAAUUAUGCAGAACAUGG